CCCUUAGAUGUCCGGGGCUGCACGCGCGCCACACUGAGUGGAUCAGCGUGUGUCUACCCUUCGCCGAGAGGCGUGGGUAACCCGCUGAACCCCACUCGUGAUAGGGAUUGGGGAUUGCAAUUAUUUCCCAUGAACGAGGAAUUCCCAGUAAGCGCGGGUCAUAAGCUCGCGUUGAUUAAGUCCCUGCCCUUUGUACACACCGCCCGUCGCUACUACCGAUUGGAUGGUUUAGUGAGGUCCUCGGAUCGGCCCCGCCGGGGUCGGUCACGGCCCUGGCGGAGCGCCGAGAAGACGAUCAAACUUGACUAUCUAGAGGAAGUAAAAGGCGUAACA
rnacentral:rRNA from 1 species